AGUGGCGGACGGGUGAGUAACGCGUGGGUAACCUGCCUCAUACAGGGGGAUAACAGUUAGAAAUGACUGCUAAUACCGCAUAAGACCACAGCACCGCAUGGUGCAGGGGUAAAAACUCCGGUAGUAUGAGAUGGACCCGCGUCUGAUUAGGUAGUUGGUGGGGUAACGGCCUACCAAGCCGACGAUCAGUAGCCGACCUGAGAGGGUGACCGGCCACAUUGGGACUGAGACACGGCCCAA
rnacentral:rRNA from 1 species